AGCGGAGGAAAAGAAAUUAACUAAGAUUGCCCCAGUAACAGCGAGUGAAGCGGCAAGAGCCCACACUGGAAAUCUUCACACUUCGUGUGACGAAUUGUAAUCUAGAGAUUGUGUACUCACCGGGUCGUGACGCAGAAGUGCCUUAGAAUGGGCCACCAGAGAGGGUGAUAGUCCCGUAUGUGGUGUCACUGCCUAACGAGUGCGCUUUCGAAGAGUCGGGUUGUUUUGUAUUGCAGCCCCAAGUGGGAGAUAAACUUCUUCUAAGGCUAAAUAUUUAUGGGAAACCGAUAGCGAACAAGUACUGUGAAGGAAAGAUGAAAAGAACUUUGAAAAGAGAGUCAAAAGACUUGAAAUCGUUGAGGAGGAAGCGGUAGAAAUUUAUUCUUCGGCAGUGAGCGAUGGCUGUUGCCGAACCAUCGCCGGUGUGUAGGACUUUCAUAAGCCUGCUGCUGGCGCUUGGGGAAGCGGUUGUUCUGUUCGCUGUCGUCAGGCAAAAUGGGGUCGCACGUCCGCAGAGGCUGCGCUUGCUUGGUGAGCUUCGGCUUGCAGCUGGUGUGUGCCGGUGGACGAGCGGCCUGAGGGUGCUUCGUGCGAUUUUGCCAAAAUGGUUUUUACCGACCCGUCUUGAAACACGGACCAAGGAGUCUAACAUAUAUGCGAGUGUGCUGGUGGAGAAACCAACACGCGUAAUGAAAGUGAACGAUGCCAAGCAUUAGCAGCAGCAUCGACCGACCAUGAUUCUCUGAUGAAAGGUUUGAGUAAGAGCAUAUCUGUUAGGACCCGAAAGAUGGUGAACUAUGCCUGAGUAGGGUGAAGCCAGGGGAAACUCUGGUGGAGGCUCGUAGCGGUACUGACGUGCAAAUCGUUCGUCGAACUUGGGUAUAGGGGCGAAAGACUAAUCGAACCAUCUAGUAGCUGGUUCCCUCCGAAGUUUCCCUCAGGAUAGCUGGGACAAUUGCGCAGUUUUAUUAGGUAAAGCGAAUGAUUAGAGGCCUCGGGGGUAGAAUAUCCUCGACCUAUUCUCAAACUUUAAAUUGGUAAGAACCUUGGCCUUUCUUAAUUGAGGCACAGGGGCUCAAUGCGUGUCCUUAGUGGGCCAUUUUUGGUAAGCAGAACUGGCGAUGAGGGUUGCUCCUAACGUUGAGUUAAGGUGCCUAACUGCACGCUCAUCAGAUCCUACAAAAAGGGUGUUGGUUCAUUA
rnacentral:rRNA from 1 species